rnacentral:rRNA from 1 species
UACGUAGGCUGCGAGCGUUGUUCGGAGUUACUGGGCGUAAAGGGUGUGUAGGCGGCUGUUUAAGUUUGGUGUGAAAUCUCCCGGCUCAACUGGGAGGGUGCGCCGAAUACUGAAUAACUAGAGUGCGGGAGAGGAAAGUGGAAUUCCUGGUGUAGCGGUGAAAUGCGUAGAGAUCGGAAAGAACACCAACGGCGAAAGCACUCUGCUGGGCCGACACUGACACUGAGAGACGAAAGCUAGGGGAGCGAAUGGG